rnacentral:pre_miRNA from 1 species
CUACAUCUACCCUGUAGAUCCGAAUUUGUCUGAAUCUCAGACUACUUAACAAAUUCGGUUCUAGAGAGGUUUGUGUG